CCCUUAGAUGUUCUGGGCAGCACGCGCGCUACAAUGGUCUUCGCAAACGGAUGCAUUCUCGAAGGAGAAUGCCAAUCUUGGAAUCUAUGCCUUGGUCGGGACAGUUGCUUGCAAUUUUUCGACUCGAACCAGGAAUUCCUUGUAAUCGUGAUUCAUCACAUCACGAUGAAUACGUCCCUGCCCUUUGUACACACCGCCCGUCGCUCCUACCGAUCGAAGAGUUAGGUGAAUUGUUUUGAUGGAUAAGAUUUGACUAUGGUCAACUCUCGUUGUGAAAUUCUGUGAAUCUGACUGUUUAGAGGAAGGAAAAGUCGUAACA
rnacentral:rRNA from 1 species